AAGUUUUCUUUAUGUAAAAUCUAAAAUUAUGAAUUUACAUUGAAAUGUAUCUGAAAUAACAAGAUACGUAAUAUCUUACUUGUUUAGCUAUCUUCAAAUAAAACAAUUAUGGAAAAAAUCAUAUCCAGCAAAUUUUAUCAAACAUAUAUAGAAUUAAUACUGUAUUUAUUUACUGUAAAAUUGUGUGUUUUAGUAAUAAAUUUGAAAAUCUAGAAAUAUAUUUUCAUAGCUAUUUUAGAUCAUUUUAGAUAAAUAUUAAAAUCUAAAAUCGUUAAUAAUUUUCAAAGAGAUGUUGGAGAAAGAUUACACCCCUCAACAAGGCUCUUCAAAUACAAUUUUUGGCCUAAUUUGAACAUGCAAAUCAGGGAGAACUCGGCCCUAUACAAUCCGGCCCACUACAUUCGGCCCAACCGGAUUAGGUCAGCGCAAAGUGAGGGCUUAGAAGCGCCGAGUAUAAAGGAAAAAGGAAAGCACAAGAAGAAGAGACAUUCAGAAGCCAGACAAAACUAGAACGGCUAGAAAUAUGGUUUAUCAUCUUUAAUCCUUUAUUCUAGCCAGAAAUUUUUUUUUUAUCUUAAUCAUUACCAAAACUCUCUUGUAAUCUCCGACCAGAUUGUUUAACAAAACGUCUUUCAAAUAACUCACCACCUUGUUCGCUCACUCUCUAAUUACACACCGAACACUGAUUAAACAAGAGACAUCAAUGAAAGUAUAACAAGAUUUUAUAUAAAUUUACUCCAAGAUCAAUGAGUGAUAAAUAUAAGCUUCCAAGGAAAACACUUCGCAGAAGAUCUUUGUCACCUGAGCUCUCUGGAGAGAGUUCAACAGAUGAUGAAGCAAACAAAGUUGAGAGAAAAGUCCCCUACAAAGCUCUUCUCAUAAGACCUCGGCCAUUUGAACCAUUUGAUGAGGAUGAUUCAACGGCCAGUGAUGCAACGGACAGUGAUGCAACGGACAGUGAUGUAACAAGUCCAGAGGGGUUGAAAGUGAGUCCAAAGAAGAGCAAUGAUUCAAUAAACGAGCCGUCGAACAAGAAGAGAAGACUGCAUAGGAAGAAGAUGUAUACCCCUCGAAAAUUUAUUUCCCCAGAGGCAGAAGUUAACCAGACUGAUGCAAAUCCGUGCAACAGUGGGAGAUCAGAGAAGGCCCUUUCUGAUCAACGUGUCACCCGAGAAGAACCAUAAACAAGACGAAUCAGAAUCAAUGGCUUAUCCAAUAUCUAUGUUCUUAUCUUUUAUUUUAUGGACUUUAUUUCGUAAUUUGAAUUUUGCUUUUAGCUUA